AAUCAAUUAACCACUGGGUGGUAAAUGUUUUGAAAGCAUAAGGCAGGAGCUCAAUUCUCCUAUUGAUUU
rnacentral:tRNA from 1 species